CGCGCGGGGCCUGGUGGGAGCAGCGCCCGGGCGCCGCGCUCCUCCUGCGGCGGCGUUGGCGGCGGGCGGGAGAUGCGCGGCCCGGCCCGCGGCAGCUGUGAAUUCUUGUAGAAGAUUGAUAGCUCUGCCAACAUUUGUCCACAGUAGAAGAUGGGUGGAUUAAUUUCAAGAUGGAGGCAGGCAAAGCCUUCCACCGUAGAAGUAUUAGAGAAAAUAGAUAAGGAAAUACAGACAUUAGAAGAAUUUAGAGAAAAAAAUCAGAGGCUACAGAAACUAUGGGUUGGAAGACUUCUUCUCUACUCCUCACUUCUUUACCUUACUACUUGCUUAAUUGUGUAUUUGUGGUGUCUUCCUGAUGAAUGGACAGCAAGGCUGACAAUGACACUUCCAUUUUUUGCAUUUCCAUUGAUAAUCUGGUGUAUAAGAACACUGCUCAUUUUUUUCUUUUCCAAACGGACAGAAAGAAAUAAUGAUGCACUGGAAGAUUUAAAAUCCCAAAAGAAAAAAAUACUUGAGGAAGUAAUGGAAAAGGAAACGUACAAGAAUGCUAAACUAAUCCUUGAAAGGUUUGAUCCGGAAUCAAGUGCAAAGGAGACUGAACUACCAUCUGCUGGAACAUCUGCAACCCCAAGACCUGGACAAGAAAUUCGUCAGAGGACUGCAGCUCAAAGAAAUGCUUCUACACCCCCACCUGCAACUCCUAAACAAGGCUCUCCAAAGUCCCCUCUUCCAGCAUCUCCUAACCUGCAGAGAGAGAGCCCAGCUCUGAGCGGGCUCCCGGAAAGAGCUGCUGCGCCAUCCUUGCAGCCCAAUGUUUUACCACGGCGCCCUGGAUCCCCUGCUACUUCAGUGCCUGGAAUGGGUCUUCAUCCUCCAGGCCCCCCUUUGGCAAGACCUGUUCUUCCUCGAGAAAGAGGAGUUGUGGAUAGGGUUAUUGAAUAUUUGGUUGGUGAUGGUCCUCAGAACAGGUAUGCCCUUAUAUGUCAGCAAUGUUUUUCUCACAAUGGUAUGGCUUUGAAGGAGGAGUUUGAAUACAUAGCAUUUAGAUGUGCCUACUGCUUCUUCCUGAAUCCUGCAAGAAAAACUAGACCUCAAGCUCCACGACUUCCAGACUUCAGUUUUGAAAAAAGGCAAACUACAGAAUUGCGAUCUGAAACUGAGCCUCUAGAACCCAGAGAGAGAAGGCCCCAGGAGACUCAACAGACAAAAGAAUCUGAAGAUGAUGAGGCCCAGCUCAUUGAGACAAAUGACACAGAUGAUAAUGCACCCAGUUCUGAGCAUCUAAAUGAUAAGCUAGCUGAAGAAGUUGAAAAAGAAGAAGCAGAAAACAUUUCAACAACAGAAGAGGCUAUUUCAGAGUUUGCUUCAGCUGAACAAAGUGAAGAAUCUUUAAUAAAAGCAGAAUAAAAUACUUCAAGUGCCUUCUGUAGCUAGUUUUUAGCUUUGUUCAUGCCUGUUGUUACUAUUCAGAGAAGCUGGAUUUGUAGAAAACUCAAGCAACAAAGACCUUCCAGCUCUUCUCAAGUGGUCUUCCCUCUAAUUCCUUGCAUCACUUCAAGGAGUUCUGCUCAGUUGAUGAAACUUAAUUUUUGACUUGUUCAGCACUCAAAAACAUUUUAUAAAAGCACCAAGAAAAUUAAUUUUAAGAAAACUGUUUUGAAUUAUGUUUUAAAGGGAAUGUGAAAGUUAUUUCUUUAGGAAUGUUUGUACUUGCAUUUUUUGUAUAUUGAGCUUUUAUUUAAACAGGAGUGCCUGUAUAUUUAUAGAUGCUAUUGUUGUAAUGGCCUUGUUGCAUUAGUAAAGGGUAUGUGUGUUUAUGUACUAUAAAUAUUAUCUUAAUCAGAAAUAUUAUCUUUAAUCAUUCUAAUCCUAGAGGUAGCCUUGACUAUACAUCACCUGCAGUUGAAAUUCCAUUAAAAUCAAUGGCAAAAACAUUAAUUAGUGUGAAUUCUUAAGUCUAAUAGACUUCCUGAAAUGUCUUAGCUUUUCUACUUGUAAUUGAGAAAAUAUUUGAACUUGUGCUCCCCUUUUGAAAUUUACUAUUUUACCAAAUGAAGCAGAUUUUAAAGCAUAUGAAAUGAAAUUGCAUAGCUUGUUAUUUGAAUAUAUGCUGUCUUUGCUGUGUAUGUAACUUCUUGAGGAAAAGCUGGUAAUGAAAAAGCUAUUUAUUUACCUGAGCUUAAUUGAUGAUUUGAGGUGAUAAUUCUGUUUAAUAGUUCCUUCUGUGCUGGCUGUACUUAAUCAACUUGAGUUUUGUACUUAUUUGGGUGUUAUUGAGGACCCCAUAUGUUACCAAACAAGGAUGAGGGGGCCCCUGCCUCUUUAAUGCAGCCCCUGCCCCCCAGUUGGACUGGCAUAUGUAGGAGAAGAAAGUUGUUCAAGGUUGAGUAGUUUCUGAUAGGACCCAUUUGUCUGUGCUACAGCCAAUUGUGAGAACUCCUGGCUCAUGGCAUGAGCAGCCAGCUCUCCACCCUCAAAGGUCAGCCUGGCACAGCACUGCAAAAUUCUGUGUGUGCUGAAAGGAGAGGCAGGAAAACCUGCCUUGACUCAGGAUUGAAAAUACGUGGCAGCUUCAGAGAGAAUUGUGGAGUUGUGAGGGUGCUGACUUUGGCCCACGAUUCCAUAGACGUUUCAGGGUGGGUAUUGCAGCUUUUAUUGUAUCUAAAUGGUGAUUUAUGUCCUUAUUCCUCCAUUAGUGUCCACAAGGUACUGCCCUGUGUCACAGGCCUGUAUUACCUAGUUUUUUCAGACUGUUUCAUUUUCAUUAGCACAGCUGCUUUAGCUUGUGAUCAGUGUAGUGCACCUCAUUGAUAAUCUAAGAGGGUAUUAGAUGCACAGAAGUGACACGUGACCCUGGCAGUCUGGCUUGAUUGACCCCUCAGCUUCCGAAACAUGGGUUCAUUUUUUUUUUUUUUUUUUUUUUUUUUUUUUUUUUUUUUUUUAAAUCCAAGUUAGCCUGCAUCCAUUUUCACACAGAUUCCGGGCAGUUUAAAGGUUGGUCAGAUUCAAAUAUUGCUCUUUCAAAUUUGAUAAUGUAUGAGUACAGAACUGUGACCUUUGGUACGUGGUAAUACAUCAACAUGACACGAGCAGUAAGUGCAGCAAUUACCUUUACUGCACUUCAGAUUGUGUUUUAGUUCUCAUCUUGCAUGCAAUUAUUUCAGGGGAAAAAACGCCUUUAAGUUAAAUAUUUUUUGCAAAUAGGAUAAGUGCAGAAAUUAAUCUCUGGGGACUUUCUGAUUUCCAGGUAAAUGUUUUCAAAUGAAUCUUGGCUUUUAAAUUAACAUUGUUUUAGUGGUAGAAAGGAGUCUGGUGCCAUUGGCUUUUACAAUACUUUUAUUUUCUGAAAGAGUUUCUUUAAACAUUUUUGUUGUGUUCUAAUGUAAUCUAAAUUUCAUAUUCUAAUUGAUGGCCAAAGCCUGAUCCUGCAGGCAGUUGACAUGUCACUGUCUUCAUGUUGCUCCCAUGAUAAUACUCAUGAGUUGGUUAUGUGCAUGGUAAUAAUGCAAGUUUACAUGCUUUUGGGUGCCUUUCAGAACAUCAGAGCAUCUCAGACAUGCAUCACAUAGUGAAUUAAGAGGCUCUUUUUAGGUGCCUCAGCAAUGUUUCAUCUUUUUCCUGAGCAGAUCAAGAUGCAUUUGGUUUAUUUCCAGAUGUUCUUUCUCACUUGUUAUAAAUUAUUUGGAUAAUGAUAGUGCACAACCACUACCUGCUAGAGCAAUAAAAACACAAAUCAGUACUCCUUGCCAAAGAGCAUAAGGCCUUGAGAGGACUGACAGCAGUUGUGGUUUCUGUUCUGUGAGCUAAGAAUCAGAAUGAAAUUACUGUGUCAUUCUGAGCAAGCAAUUGAAUAACCAUUGGAUGGUGACUCUGUCAGUGUUGUCUGUCACAACCUAAACUCAAAGGGAUAAUUUGAAGCAGGACUUCAUGUUCUUGUAAAAUACCUGCCUCCUCAGCAGCCAAGCACUGAGUGGUGUUGGUAUGCCAAAGUUAGGCACUGAACUUUAUUCAGGAGCUGGGGAAGUGCUUAUUUUGUUCUGUAUUCAGGUGAAAUUAACACCUUUUGGAAUGGCAUUCUUUAAGCUGUCAAAAUUGUAAACCCCUAGUCUCCAAAACCAUUUGACUGUUCUGGGGCACAGGAGGCAGCUGACCCCAGUGGCUGAUGUGGAACAGGGACUGAAAGGAGCCACUCCCUUCCAAACCUACCAUGAGCAGAGGGUGCUUUUGCUAGGCUGGCUUUGUCUUUUAAUUCCUGCCUGUGGAGGCUGCUCACUUGCUAUACAUGUGCACUUGUUAUAGACUGGUAAAACAAAAAGCUUUUCUGAUGCAAUGGAAGGGUGUCUUUUUUUUGCUCACUAUUUUCUAGCAAGUAGCUAUUGUGGUGUUGUUUGUCCUCAGGGAGUAAAAUCAAAACAAAUUUAUUAGAUCACCAUAUAACUUGCUCCUAAGCAAGCUCUUGACCAUACAAAUUGUUUUGCAAAGCCACAAGGAAGGUGCUACCUGGGGACAAGGAGCAACCGUGGUUUUGCUUUGUUUCUUGUUCCUUUUGCCCUGUGCCACUUAAGGGCCCUUAAUUCCUUUAAAAUAUGCAAAAAAAAAAGAGGUUUUUGGUUUUUUUUUUUGCUGCCAUUAAAUUUUAAAUGUUAACAGCCAGUAGUAACUUUGGGGAAAAAACACCCAGUCUACUUUUUCCAUUAAAAAAUGUAAAUAUUGUAUAUAUGGAAGUCUUGGAUCUAUGCUGCUGACUUAGCAGGUGAUGACAGCUCAGUGGGAAAGUUUACAGCUGGGGGGCUCCAUGUUUGUAGAAAGUUCCUUGGGUUGAAAGGUUGCCCUUGUGCAGGUAGGUGAGUCUGGGUAGAGAAGUAAAUUUGUUACUUGCUACAAGUAAUAAGGGGAUAACAAUGGCAGCUACUCAUUGCAUGUCAUUAUUUGUUGAUUGUUAUUUGCUCAUGCUGAGUUUAUUAUUUCUGGUAACAACUUUGGCUUCUUUAGUUUUCUAUAUUGUAUAUUAUUAACCACUUUUUUUAAAAAGAGCUGACAACACUGGUAUUCCCCAACAGUAGGAUCUUUUUUAUAGUAUCUAUAAAAUAUUUCCUUUCAUAUUUUAGAGAAAGGGGUGAAGGUAAUAUUUUUUCCAUGAUUCAUACUAUAGCAGUAUGUCUCGAAGUAUUUAUUUUUCAGAAAUGCUAGGAAUUUUGUUUGUUUCAGCUAUUUGCCUAGAUCUAUGUGAUUUUGGGGCUUUUUAAAAAAAUGGUGAAUGAUAGCCUGGUUGCAGAAUGUAUUUUCUUUUUAAGACUUAUCUUAAAAGAAAAGACCUAGCAGGUUGCAGUGGUAAAAUCCUCCUGGAAGGAAUUGGUUGAAUUAUUGAAGGAAUGGUAGGCAGCUGAAAUUCUGGACACUUAAGGGAAAGUACUUGGCUAAGACUGUGCACAACAUCUUGUGAAUACUCCUGAUACAUCAUAAUAAGGCAUUAUGUUUGUCUAGUCAUGAAGUCUGAUCUAUUUGAUUUUAAAUCUCAGAUUGUGAGAUUAAUCUCUGAUUCUGAGUAAGUGUAAUGAUUCUGAGAGCUGGAAUAUUGUUUGCCAUUGUGAACAGUACUGCAGGAGCCUCAGAAUGUAUAAUGUAAUAGAUGCAAUUUUGUUUGAUUUUUUUUUCCCUAGGCCAAUUUAAUUUUGAUUUAUUUGCCUCAUUAACCCAAGAAUUCAGAAAAUUGAAUGCUACCUGAGUGAGGUAUUAUUAACAGUAGUGAAAUAUCUUCAAAUUCACUUCAUGCUUAUAAAUUAGUCUUUUGAAAGCAUUUUAAAGGCAUAAUGAUGCUGUAGUGAAAAUGUACAGCAUCAUUUAAAAAUUGCAAAAUGCUUAUUUGAUUUCAGAAAUAAGACUUGGUCACCUGACUUAAAUAUAUACUGAUCUAUUAUUUAUGCUUUGAAAAUAGAGCAGAUAAAAAGCAUAAGUGUUCUUGAUAUUAUAUUUUGUCAUAUCUAGCUAAAAAGAUUGAAAUCCAGAGAAACAAUUUUCUGAAGAAAUGAAAUAGUAUGCCCUCCUGAACCCCUGGGGAAAAUAGCCUCUCUGUUUGCUCAGAAUACGAAGCAGUAAAACAGUAUAAGUAAAACAGACAGCCCAUGUCACAUUCCUAUUUGUACAGUCUGGAAUGAUGUUUUAAAAACAUUUUCUAGUUAUUUUUGAUAAAUAAAUGGCACAAAUAACAUCUGCAAACCAACCCUGCUGAUGUAAGAUUUUUCAGAUCAGAUUUGUUUGUCAGUGAAAGUUCAGAAAAUUGCCUUGCAGAACUUAAGUUGUAUAACUCCCAAAAAUAUGCAUACCAAAUGUGUAAGAAUAUAUUUUGUUCUCUUUUGCCUUUCCUUGGAGAAACUAAUGCUGAUUCUCCAUUAUCUUUGCUUUUGGGCUUAGAAGGUAGCUUGACAAAAAUAUGGGAUAUGGAAAAGCUCAGCUGCUGAACACAUGUUUAUGAAGUGUUAAAUAGCUGUGAGUGCAUAUUCAUAGUGCAGCAUCCAGCUGUGGAUUUGGAAUGGUGUAUUCAGGUUAAAGCUCUGAGAUUUCCCCCUGAGCCAGUACUGCUGCACUGAAAGCUUGGCUUAGUGCUUCUAAGAUCCUUCCACAGGGGCUGCUCCCACCUCUGGUCAGGGUGUGCCAAGGACUGAUGUGUCUUUUCUGGCUGUUGCUUUCUUCAGGUUCUGCCAAAGGCUGCCACACUGAGGCUGAGGGGAAGGAAGGUCCUCCAAAUUUUGUGGCUUUCAGAAAUGCACUCUUCAGUUCAAGGAUGCUGCUGCAACUCUAAUUUCCAUCACUGUCAUAAUAGCUGAGAUGGGAAAACAUUCCUUGGGCAGCAGGAUUGAGAAAUCUGGUGUCAUGGCUCUACCAAUGCCUGGUUACCCAGGACUGGCUAAGGAAGGUGUGUCUGUACAUCUUCCAGAACGUGGCUUCUUGGGCUGGUGUCCUUUCAGCUGCAUUUGAGUAGUAAAUGUCUUCUGGCUGUUGUUGUGCUUUGGACUUUGGUGCUCUGAAGAGCUGGUUAAAACAAGCUUUAAUUUUAUUUUUGUAAGGAUGCUCAGUCCAUGGACUCCAUCUCAGGCUAAAUUCUGUGAUACAUCCACAGAUAAAAAAUGCAUGUAUUUUUUCAAUGUGUGUGUUUAAUAGUGACCAAACCCCCCACCCCCCACCCCCUUUUUCUUUUAUUUUUUCAGUCUUUUAAAAAUAAUGAUUUAAUAAACUCUUCUCUCUGAGCUUAUACUAGGCUGGAAUAUUACCUGUUAUUUUAAUACCUGAACAAAAGAUGGGGUUUAAUAACAUUUGAUUAGAGUUAUUCUCCCUUCAUUAAAUGAAAAAAGGCUUGGGUAGGAGUUUUUGUAAGGAUCAGGGGUAGAAUUCUAGAACAGGUAUUUUUUGUGUUCUGUUUGCAUGUGUUCACUGUUGUAUGUAAUCAUAGUGGUGAUAACUGGCACACUGAAUAAGCUGAAUAUAUUUGCUUCUCUACAGCAG